rnacentral:lncRNA from 1 species
GGAUUGAACCCAGGGCCUUGUGCAUGAAAGGUAAGCACUCUACCAACUGAGCUAUGUUCCCAGCCCUAAUAAAUAUUUGUUGUAUGAGUAAUUUUUUUUCUUUGGUGGGGGUUACUUGAGGUUUAACCUAACUGAAACACAUCUCCAACUCUUUUUUUUUUUUAAUUUUUUUUUUAGUUGUUGAUGGACAUUUAUUUAUUUAUUUAUUUAUAUGUAGUGCUGAGACUCAAACCCAGUGCCUCAUACAUGGUAGGCAAGUGCUCAGCCACUUGAGCCCAAAUCAAGCCCCCUAGCUCUUUUUAUUUUUAUUUACUUAUUUAAUAUUAUGUUUUAAUUGUAGUUGGACACAAUAUCUUUAUUUUUUUAUUUUUAUGUGGUGCUGAGGAUCAACCCAGUGCCCCGCACAUGCUAGGCAAGCGCUCUACUGCUGAGCCACAACCCCAGCCCCUCUUUUUAUUUUUCAUUUUGAGACAGGAUGUUGUUGAGCUGCUCAGGGCCUCACUAAAUUGCUGAGUGUGAGGAUGACCUUAGGCCUGAGCCUAAGCAACUCCAUUUAAAAAACCCCAGUUUGAAACCUCCAGUCUCAUUAGGCACACCUAACAGAACCCUCCAGUAUGGCCUCAGACAAGUUACUUCCUCUCACCCUGAUAAACAGAGUGAAGCCUCUGGCAGGCUGUCCUCUCCUGAUAAGAGGAAAGGUAAGAAGAUCAGGGUGGAGACUACCUGUUUCUGACCCCAGGGUAAAUAAGGAUUGAAAGGGAGGGGGGGGUCAAAAGCUCCCAAAUUUGUUAAAUAAAGAGCUAAUGAAUAGGGAUUCAACCAGCCAAAACAAGGAUGCAGUCCGCAUGAUGAGGACCUGGACUAACUGACAUCCCAUCACUUGACAACGUUUUUCCUGAUCCUCUGCAUGAUCCUCACUGCUCUCAAACUCUACCGCCUCUUCUGGACCCUUGUGACAGCUGCAACUUUUCCGUAGUACCUGACCCCUCUCUUCAACCGGUUAUCCACUCCACACCAGGAGAAGCCUGCCUUGGUUCCAGAUCUGAUCACCACAGUUUGAGUGAGUGUGCAUCUGCUGGACAUAAAGUCUAAGGUUAAGACCUUUGAAUUUAGCACACAGAGGGAAUGUCUGUCUUAGCCUGUCAUGAUUAAGUGAGUUUGCAGUGCUUAUAAUUAAUCUAGAAUUGUUUGCUGUGAAUUGAUUAUGUCUAUUGCAGUGCCUAACAUUAAGGAUUGUUGUUUUCUUGAUUAAGAACCUAUAGAGUGAAACUGUAUUAAUUUGAGUGAAUAAAGCAUUGAAAGGGGCAGAAGCACAUGGAGAUUCUUUAUUUCUCCCUCUUGACUGCACAUGUCGCAAUUUUGCCCCCUUGUGACACUUAAGUUGGCCGUUAACUUGUGAUCCUCCUGCCUCAGCUUCUGGAGUCGCAGGGAUUACAGGUAUGUGCCACCAAGCCUGGC